rnacentral:misc_RNA from 1 species
GCCGACAUCCCCCGUCUGUUGCUCACCAAAAAUAUUGCCAAAUCCUCUAAUAGCCAUGUCUCUUUCUGCAAGCUGAAAACCUUGACCAAGUUCACAGCACUCUUCAAGAGCAGCAAGUCUCUCUAGUGCAUGGUCUGAAAGAAGUGAUUUGUCAGGAUAGAAUAAAUGUGCAUGAGCUUCCUUAUCCGCCCGUCCGACCCUUCCACGCAACUGAUACAAUUGU